GGGGGCGUGGCGGAACCGGCAGACGCGCCGCACUCAAAAUGCGGUGGCCGCAAUGGCCGUGAGGGUCCGAAUCCCUCCGCCCCCA
rnacentral:tRNA from 1 species